rnacentral:lncRNA from 10 species
ACAAAUGAAAUCAUCAACCAACUGGCAAAGUGGUGAGCUCCUUGCAGGUAGGAUCCUUCAUCAAAGAGAGACUGAUGAGCAGUGGAGACGCCUCUCUGAAGUGCAGAUCCAUGGUGGACGCCCACCAGGACAGCAAACAGUCAACAUCACUCUAACUGCAAGUUAAUGCCCCAUCCCUAUGGCACUCUGUCAGUAACCAGUCAUCUCAGCAGCAGUAAUUAGAUA